AGGGAGUUAGUCCAAAAUAAGACCUCUGAUUUCGGCUCAGAAGAUUGUGGUUAAAGUCCAUAACCCCCUU
rnacentral:tRNA from 1 species